GGCUUAGCUAGCAAACUUAUGCUGGCUUGUGUCUUCCAGGGAACUGAAGCCCUAGGGACAAUUGCUUCUUGGUUCCUGAGAAGAAAAUGGAAAUGUACAUUUUCUCAUUUGCUAUCAAAUGUUAGUCACUCUCAGAUUUCAAAUGCCGUGAUUCCAGAGCAUCAAUGCAGAAAUAAUCCUUCCUAUGGAGCCAGGUUGUUGUUGAGUGACUCAGCAAGUCUUGGUGCAUUUUUCAAUGACACAGGGAACCAAUGACAUCACAAGGGAUGUCUUAAUCUGCACGUGAGUUGGAUUCAAGUGAGGCAGAGUUACCCAAAGCCAUCAACAUCACUCUCUCUUCCAGAAUCAUUGAAGUCCAGUGGCAGGGCAAAGAUGAGGACUGCUGGCAAUGGUCUGGGAUGCCCUUGAUGAUCAUGGCAUCUUCAUUGCCAGACCGAGUUCUAACUGCUCUAUGGGACUUGUCUCUGCUGCCAAUGUAGCCACUGGAAUGAAUUUUCUUUUUUUAUUGUCCAUUCUGCCGGUGAAGUCUUCUCACACUUUUGUAGACAUCUCCCCUAAUUCACCAAUGGGUUCUAUGCUAUGGGAUCCAUUUAUGAUCUUUGAACAGUAGAGACGUGUAGACCCAUGUUUUAGGAAGAUUACUUUGGCAGCAAUGUAGAGGACAGAUAAGAGACUUGCCCAUUGGGAAGACACUAAAAAUUGGAAUAGACCAGAUAAGACUAUCUUUGUACCCUCAGCAGUUAGCACAGUGAUUGGGAGUAGUGGGUGCUUAAUAAACGCUGAUUGAUUGACUAAUUAGAGAGAAAA
rnacentral:lncRNA from 1 species